rnacentral:rRNA from 1 species
CGGCCCAGACUCCUACGGGAGGCAGCAGUGGGGAAUAUUGCACAAUGGGCGCAAGCCUGAUGCAGCGACGCCGCGUGAGGGAUGGAGGCCUUCGGGUUGUAAACCUCUUUUAUCGGGGAGCAAGCGAGAGUGAGUUUACCCGUUGAAUAAGCACCGGCUAACUACGUGCCAGCAGCCGCGGUAAUACGUAGGGUGCAAGCGUUAUCCGGAAUUAUUGGGCGUAAAGGGCUCGUAGGCGGUUCGUCGCGUCCGGUGUGAAAGUCCAUCGCUUAACGGUGGAUCCGCGCCGGGUACGGGCGGGCUUGAGUGCGGUAGGGGAGACUGGAAUUCCCGGUGUAACGGUGGAAUGUGUAGAUAUCGGGAAGAACACCAAUGGCGAAGGCAGGUCUCUGGGCCGUUACUGACGCUGAGGAGCGAAAGCGUGGGGAGCGAACAGGAUUAGAUACCCUGGUAGUCCACGCCGUAAACGGUGGAUGCUGGAUGUGGGGCCCGUUCCACGGGUUCCGUGUCGGAGCUAACGCGUUAAGCAUCCCGCCUGGGGAGUACGGCCGCAAGGCUAAAACUCAAAGAAAUUGACGGGGGCCCGCACAAGCGGCGGAGCAUGCGGAUUAAUUCGAUGCAACGCGAAGAACCUUACCUGGGCUUGACAUGUUCCCGACGGUCGUAGAGAUACGGCUUCCCUUCGGGGCGGGUUCACAGGUGGUGCAUGGUCGUCGUCAGCUCGUGUCGUGAGAUGUUGGGUUAAGUCCCGCAACGAGCGCAACCCUCGCCCCGUGUUGCCAGCACAUGAUGGUGGGAACUCACGGGGGACCGCCGGGGUUAACUCGGAGGAAGGUGGGGAUGACGUCAGAUCAUCAUGCCCCUUACGUCCAGGGCUUCACGCAUGCUACAAUGGCCGGUACAACGGGAUGCGACCUCGUGAGGGGGAGCGGAUCCCUUAAAACCGGUCUCAGUUCGGAUUGGAGUCUGCAACCCGACUCCAUGAAGGCGGAGUCGCUAGUAAUCGCGAAUCAGCAACGUCGCGGUGAAUGCGUUCCCGGGCCUUGUACACACCGCCCGUCAAGUCAUGAAAGUGGGCAGCACCCGAAGCCGGUGGCCUAACCCCUUGUGGGAUGGAGCCGUCUAAGGUGAGGCUCGUGAUUGGGACUAAGUCGUAACAAGGUAGCCGUACCGGAAGGUGCGGCUG